UUUUGUCAAGCUACAAAGGGCUCACGGUGAAUACCUUGGCACGCAGAGGCGAUGAAGGACGUGACUACCUGCGAUAAGUCUCGGGGAGCGGGAAGUAAGCUUUGAUCCGGGAAUUUCCGAAUGGGGCAACCCUGGGGCAACCCAACGGCUAGCUGAAUCCAUAGGCUAGUUCGAGCCAACCCAGCGAACUGAAACAUCUUAGUAGCUGGAGGAAAGGAAAGUAAAAACGACUCCCUCAGUAGCGGCGAGCGAAGCGGGAUCAGCCUAAACCAACCAUUUCGAUGAUUGGGGUUGUGGGACAGCGACGUGGACCAGGAAUUCUAAAAGAAGCAUUUGAAUGAUGCACCAUAGAGGGUGAUAGUCCCGUAUUUGAAAGAUGAACUGGCCUAGCUGUAUCCCGAGUAGCACGGAGCACGUGAAAUUCCGUGUGAAUCCACGAGGACCACCUCGUAAGGCUAAGUACUACUGCGUGACCGAUAGCGUACAGUACCGCGAGGGAAAGGUGAAAAGAACCCCGGGAGGGGAGUGAAACAGAACAUGAAACCGUGAGCCUACAAGCAAUGGGAGCCCGACUGAUCGGGUGACCGUGUGCCUGUUGAAGAAUGAGCCGGCGACUUAUAGGCACUGGCAGGUUAAGAGGACAAUCUCGGAGCCACAGCGAAAGCGAGUCUGAAUAGGGCGAUGGUCAGUGUUUAUAGACCCGAACCCGGGUGAUCUAACCAUGGACAGGAUGAAGCUUGGGUGACACCAAGUGAAGGUCCGAACCGACUGAUGUUGAAAAAUCAGCGGAUGAGCUGUGGUUAGGGGUGAAAUGCCAAUCGAACCCGGAGCUAGCUGGUUCUCCCCGAAAUACAUUGAGGUGUAGCGUCUAGUGCUUAAGCAGGGGGGUAAAGCCACCGUUUCGGUGCGGGCUGCGAGAGCGGUACCAAAUCGAGACGAACUCUGAAUACCCUGUACGUAACUAGGCAGUCAGACUGUGGGGGAUAAGCUUCAUGGUCAAGAGGGAAACAGCCCAGACCGCCAGCUAAGGUCCUUGAAUCACUACUAAGUGGCAAAGGAUGUGGGAUUGCAUAGACAACCAGGAGGUUUGCCUGGAAGCAGCCAUCCUCGAAGGAGUGCGUAAUAGCUCACUGGUCGAGCGAUCCUGCGCCGAAAAUGAACGGGACUAAGUAGUGUACCGAAGCUGCGGAUUCUUUGAAUGGUAGGGGAGCGUUCCAUGUGGAUUGAAGCGCUAGCGAAAGCGGGCGUGGACUGCAUGGAAGUGAGAAUGUCGGCUUGAGUAGCGAAAACAUAGGUGAGAAUCCUAUGCCCCGAAACCCUAAGGGUUCCUCUGUCAAGCUCGUCUGCAGAGGGUUAGUCAGGACCUAAGGCGAGGCCGAAAGGCGUAGUCGAUGGACAACAGGUCAACAUUCCUGUACUGGCUGUUGUUUGGGCAGGUGGACGGAGAAGGCUAGGCGAUCCGGAUGUUGGUUACCGGUUCAAGCGUUCAAGGCGUUGAAGAGCGGUGAAAACGCUCUGAGCUGAGGCGUGAGUACGAGCUCUUACGAGAGCGAAGUCGCUGAUGUCAUGCUUCCUAGAAAAGACCUUAGUCCGUUAAGCAACAACUACCUGUACCCGAAACCGACACAGGUGGGGUGGUAGAGUAUACCAAGGGGCGCGAGUUAACUCUCUCUAAGGAACUCGGCAAAAUGGCCCCGUAACUUCGGGAGAAGGGGUGCCACCGUCAGGUGGUCGCAGUGAAGAGUCCCAGGCGACUGUUUACCAAAAACACAGGUCUCCGCUAAGUCGCAAGACGACGUAUGGGGGCUGACGCCUGCCCAGUGCCGGAAGGUUAAGGAAGCUGGUUAGCCUUGCGAAGCUAGCGACCGAAGCCCCGGUGAACGGCGGCCGUAACUAUAACGGUCCUAAGGUAGCGAAAU
rnacentral:rRNA from 1 species